GGUAAAUCGCGAGUUGUUCCAGGAGGUAGCAGUAUUUUUCUGGUAGGUCCCGCCACUCACAAAAAGCCGACCCAUUUCUGCAUUCUCUGCUCUUCCUAAUCUAUGAUGAUCGUUUAUAAAUUUGGAGCCCUCGCUCCCCAACACAAAAGGCCUUUUCUUUUUAAUCCCAUUAAAAUAUUGUUUUGACUUCAAACUAGCAAACUUGAGUGGCAUUUCUCCGGUUUUUCGCUUUAUUUUUGACUCCGAAGUUUUUUCCACUAGUUUUUGAACUCCGGCGAUGCCUACGCCGGUCGGAGUAGCCAAGCAAUGCUUGACGCCGGAUGCAUCUCGAGCUCUCGAAGAAGCCGUCUCCGUGGCGCGCCGUCGUGGGCACCCCCAGACCACCUCGCUCCAUGCUGUCUCCGCCUUGCUUUCGUUGCCGUCGUCUACCUUACGUGACGCGUGUGCUCGUGCCCGGAGCUGUGCCUACUCGCCUCGGCUUCAAUUCAAGGCGCUAGAGCUGUGCCUGAGCGUAUCGCUCGACCGGGUCCCCUCGACUCAACUCGCUGACGACCCGCCAGUCUCUAACUCGCUCAUGGCCGCCAUCAGGCGCUCCCAGGCUAGUCAGAGAAGGCAGCCUGAGAAUUUCCACAUUUACCAUCAAAUCUCGCAGCAGCCUACUUCGGUUUCGUGUGUGAAGGUCGAGCUUCAACAUUUGAUAUUAUCGAUUCUCGACGACCCCGUCGUGAGCCGGGUAUUCGGCGAAGCGGGUUUUCGAAGCUCCGAAAUUAAACUUGCUAUUCUUCGACCUCUCCCGCAGCUUCUCAGGUACUCACGCUCCAGAGUUCCCCCUAUAUUCCUGUGCAAUUUGACGGAGCAUCCGGACCCGGGUCGUCGGAGCUUCAGUUUCCCGUUUCCCGGUUCUUUCGGGACGUGCGACGGCGGCGCUGAGAACUACAAAAGAAUCGGAGACUUGCUUUGCAGGAGCAGAGGGAGGAAUCCCCUGCUUCUGGGUGUAUGCGCAGAUGAUGCUCUGCGUAGUUUCACAGAAGAUGUUAAUAAACAAAGAGAUGGUAUUUUGCCAGUGGAGUUAUCCGGAUUGCGCGUGACAUGCAUAGGAACAGAUAUUUCCAAGUUUGUCCUUGAGAAUAGUGAUAACGAGACUUUCAGUUCAAGGCUUAAGGAGAUUGCUCAAAUGAUAGAACAGGGAGUGGGACCUGGUUUGGUGGCGAAUUUUGGGGACCUGAAGUCUUUGGUUGAUGAGAAUGCCUCAAAUGAAGCAGUGAAUUAUGUUGUUGCUGAAUUAGCGAAAUUGUUGGAGCUUAAUUAUGGCAAGUUUUGGUUGAUGGGAGCUGCGGCGAGCUAUGAGAGCUAUCUGAAAUUUAUGGGAAGGUUUCCAUCUAUUGAGAAGGAUUGGGACUUGCAGCUUCUGCCUAUCACGUCUACUCGGCCUCAGGAUGAAUCGCCUAGGCACAGCUUAAUGGAUUCAUUUGUCCCAUUUGGCGGCUUGUUUUCUUCACCUUCUAAUUUGAAAGGUCCGCUACACGGCUCAUAUUAUUGUGUUCCCCGUUGCCUGCAAUGUGGUGGAAGUUGUGUGCAAGAAGUGCUUCCAGCUUCAAAUGAGAGGCUGUCUGCUGAUCCUUACCAAUCUAAUUUACCUCCAUGGUUAGGGACUGCUGACCUUGGCAUAACAAAAGGGUUGAAUGGUAAGACAAAAGAAGACAGUGUUCGGCUGGAUACUAGUGAAUCUGGACCUAUCAAGAAAUUGGACAAGCCAAGCCAGCAUCUGCAUGAUACUCAGCAAUUCCCUGAAGCGAUUCCUUGUCAAACUGUCAUGAGUUCCCGAUGCUCUGAUGGUGAAAAGGAAGAUGUUGACAAUCACAGCAGAAAAAUUUCAGAUGCAUCACCUAGCGUGUACAUCGAUCUCAAUUCGAGUGCGCCCAUCGCAGAGCAGAUGAUUUCUACAACACAUUCAAGUAGUCCUGUUCCUGUGGUUUCGAAAUCAGAUCAGGAUAACCCUAUUGCAAAAGCCGUAGAGAUACUCCAGAAAACGAAAGAUCUUGACUCAGGUGACCUAGGAUCAUGCAACAUGUCCAAUUCAAGCAUGUGUGAUGGUGGCCAAUUGUCUCCCUCGUCUGUGACUUCUGUAACCACAGAUCUAGGUAUAGGAAUUUCCUUUUCUCCUACAAGCAACAAAUCUAAAAACCCAACCAUGGGGGGUCUAAAGGAAAUUGCGAGUCCCCUCUCUUCAAGCUAUAAUUUAGUUAACAGGGAUGUCUUUAAGCAUCCAGCCCAGUCUUCAUCCUGCUUAAGUUCUGACCAUUCUGGACGACAUGAUCUAAUAAAUCCUAAAAUUCUUCUUGAAGCUCUUGCCAAAAAGGUUACCUGGCAGGUUGAAGCCUUACAAAGCAUUGUAAAAGCAAUAGCUUACAGUGAAACAAGCAGGGGCAAAUGCCUAGGAGCAAAUCAACGAGGGGCCAUAUGGAUGAAUUUUGUAGGAACUGACAGGAUUGGUAAAAAGAAAAUUGCUGUUUCUUUGGCUGAGAUUUUGUAUGGAAGCCAGGAAAGCUUUAUUUUUGUUGAUCUCAAUCGUGAGGAAAUAAAUGGACAUGAUGCGAAAUUUAGAGGAAAGACUAUUCUCGAUGUUUUAGUUGGGGAGUUGUGCAAAAAUCCGUUGUCUGUUGUUUUCCUUGACAAUGUAGACAUGGCUGAUAUGAUGGUUCAAAAUAGUUUAUCUCAAGCCAUCAAGACUGGAAAAAUUAUAGACUCGUGUGGGAGAGAAGUUGGUGCAAACAAUGCGAUAAUUGUGACAUCUUUCUCAGUUCAAGAAGAUCAAUGGAAUUGCAGGCCAAAGACAGAAUUCUCAGGCUAUUCUGAGGAAAGAAUAUCAAGAACAAAAGGGGCACCUAUCAAGAUAAAAGUUGAACAUGUAAUUGGAGACACCAGAAGCCCAAGCCUUACUGUACUUAAAUGUUCAACAGAUGGCGUUCCCAAUCCAAUCCCUGUAAAUAAAAGAAAGCUGAGUUGCGACAAUGCCCUUAAUGAUCAGCACAAAACCUCAGAAAUGGCUAAAAGGGCUCACAAAAUUUCAAACUGUUUUCUAGAUUUGAAUGCCCCAGCAGAAGAGAACGAACUGCAAUUCACGGAUGAUGGAAAACCUGAAGGUGUCUCAACUGCCACGCUAAACCCCUGGUUGCAAGAACUGUAUAAUCAGGUUGAUGAAACAAUCAUCUUGAAACCAUAUAAUUUUGAUGCACUUGCAGAUAGGGUCUUAAACAUUAUCAGAAGGAGCUUCCACAGCAUUCUCGGAUCUGAGUGCUCACUACAGAUAGAGUCAGAAGUCAUGGAACAGUUACUUGCAGCUGCAUAUGUCUCAGAACGGGACAUGGAAGUUGAGGAUUGGGUGGAGCAAGUUCUCACUGGAGGAUUUACAGAGAUACAGCAAAGAUAUAAAAGAGAAGAGGAAGUAAAGAAAUCCUUAUGCCAAGAAACAGCAUAGGCAUCAAUAACAGGGACUGAGUGAGAUGCGGAGAUCUAGUGGUGUCCGUAUUUGACCUGCUCAACCUGCAAUUGAGCCUGAGCUCUGAAGGGAUCCGGGCAUGGCAUCCGCUAGUCCGAGCCCACUCAAUGAUAAAAAAGAUGGUUAAGGACUUGACCAGGUACCCUCACUUACGAUGUCAACAACUUCGAUGCACUCCUGGAAGUUCAUAAUCUAUGUUCUGGAUGAUGUCAAAAGGAAAAGUUCAUGAUCCAGGGUCCCCUAGUCUGAGCAUUGAAGGUGCGGACCAUAGUAAAGCACCGAAAAAUUCUUUGUACUGUCCUCCGAUGUUAACUGACUGCAUGAUUACAAGAUGGAAUAUUUACUUCCCAGCAGAAAAAGGGAAGCUUGUGCUUUGCAUGGACUUCCAAAUGAAUCAUGGGAUGAAUCAUAGAGGAUGGCUUUCAUUGGGUACUGUUCAUAGUGAUUGCUGGGUGCUCUCAAUGGCCUUAUGGUUUUGUGUCUCACUUAGUUAGAACAACAGGAAUGAAAUUACCAAUAAGAGUUGAUUCAGUUGGUAAGAAGUUGACACAUAACCCACAAGACCAUGAGUUUGAAUCCUGCUACCAAUGUAAGGAUCUGGUUGGUAGGUGAUCUGUAAGUAUUUCUAUAAGCGCUUUUUGAACAUGGAAAUAUGUCUUAACCCUGAUGAGUUCUCAAGACCUAACUCAACUAAACUUUUUCAUACAAAAAAAACACGGAUGAAAUCAGGACUUUCUUGCUACUGUUACUCCAUUAUUAACCAAAAUGUAAGGAGUAUAUGCCACUCUUCUUUGGGAUUUAGUAUUGGUUAUUCGUAUAUCUUCCUUCAGUUACCUUCAAAUUUAUACAUACUAAGAAAAGUGGUUAAAUAUUAGCUAAAACAUUGGAGUUAUAUUCUUAUUAAUUGUAUUAAAUCUUUCCGUCAUAUUAAUUCAUGCUUUCCACUACUCUUGCUUGGUAGUUCCUAAUGUAGGGUAUAUAUACAAAAAAAUUAUUUAUGCUCUGCGUAUCAUCCAACCCCUCCCCCCUUGUGGGGAGCAGGGGGUGUUCAUCCUCAUGAUAUUAAGCAGAAGGACCGUGUAAAGACUGACGAAUUUAACAUAUUAUGCCUUGCAAUUUCGACUGAAACACGAUUAAUCUCUUGUUAUGGAAUGCAGGCUCACGCUUGGAGCUCCACUUCUCUGCAUCCUAUGCAGAAGAUUAGCCCAGAGCAGAAACAAUGGAUUGAACCACAAGAAUCUGAGACAAUUGAAUUUGAAAGACUUGUGAAUGAAGGGAUUCUUAGCCACCAUUCAAUUAUGUUGCAGUGGAAAGAGGGACUUGACAUCUCAAUCAAAAGCAUUGGAUUGAAUGGAAUUACCUUUACUGGUGAAAGAAUCGCGGUGGGACAUGGCUGAUCAGCUCAUGAAAACAACCGGUCCUUGCAUUCCAAAUUCCCCAUAGGUUAUCCAACAAAGAUAAAUUCAAGAAUCAUGAUAGGCAUCUCUCUCUCUCUGUGUAUCUCAAAAGUGGAAAAGCCAGCUAAUGACGUUAUGUUUUUUAUUGAACAGCACCCUAACAAGCAAAUAUGAAACAACGUACUGGUCUUGUCAGGUUCUUUUCUCUGAAUUUUGAUUAACAUCAGAUCAACAGUGAUUAAGCUUUGAAAAA